rnacentral:lncRNA from 1 species
UUUGGUCCCCCCUUUUGUGAAUUUGGGUUUUCUUCGAUGUGUUAGAAUCUGCCUUUUGCCUGAAACCCCUCAUUUUCUUCACUUCCUCAGCCAAUAAUAACUCAAUUUUUCUUAAAAUUUGACAAAUUGAUUCACCAAAUUUUGCAAAUUGUUGAUUUGGGGUCACGAUGAGUUGCAUGACAUGGUGGAAUCAAAGCCACCCGCAGGGCUCAUGGUUCAUGUUGUAGGGGAUGGCCAUAGUUUAGGUAGGCCAGAAAUAUGCAUGAUGAAAUGUUAAAGGGACUUAAGCCUGAUGAAGCUACUUGCAUAUGUCUCAUAUCUUGACAAGGCCGUGGCACUCAACUUCAUGACCUUGCAUAUGUCUUAUACCAUCUGGUUCUGCUAACAGGGGCUCAAACCUUGAUCCUCAUGGCCUAAUUCAAGAAGCACACAACUUCAUGACCUUCAGCAAGGAGAUGGGUAUUUGGGAAGGAUUUCUCGGCUGGUGUUUCUAGUGAUUGGAUUCUCGUAAAAUUAAUAAAUUGGACAUUUGUUGUUAAUUUCGAAGAUCAGGGAUCCCUGAAUAGGCUGGAUUUUUUGUGAUUCUAUGUGCACACAUAUUGGAUGAGGGUCUAGACAUUUGAAGUGCUCAUGGCCAGAACUUGCCCAAGCAUAUGUAGCCUUGUAAUGGCUUACAAAUGAACUUCCUACUCCCACCAUCGGAAGUAGUCAUUGAUAUGACCCAACUUGUGGAAACAAAGAGUAUAUGAAGAAAUCACCCUACAUGCUUAAUUUAGUUGAGUAAUUGGUAAUCUUAAAGCAAUAUAUUAUCUGAGAUGUAGUUAUGUCUUGCUUUGAUGCUUCACUCUGCCCAAGAGUUAGUUUUUUGCAUUUGAAGUUUGCUUUGAUGUGGGUUUGUUUGGGAGUGGGGGGAGAGAGCGUAACAUUUUAAUUUGAUGGUUUCAAUUGAAGGAGACCGUUUUAGGUGGAAUGUCAUGGUUUCAAUUGAAGGAGACCGUUUUUGGUGGAAUGUUUGUGUUUUGAAUCAUGAUGCAAUGUUCAGUAUGAUUCAUAUUUCCUCAUCUCAAAUUAUGAACCAUUAUCUUUAAUGGUUACUCUUUCAAAGGGUGUAAGGUUCACUCUCCAUAUAUCCACAUCUGAUACAUAUAUAAAUCUAUCUUAAUAGCAAACGUGACAGUUACAAUGACCAUGUAAUAUCCAUAAGAGAUUUUUCUCUUUCAAAUUUUGUAAUUUUACUGGAGAAUUGUUGAUACUACAAGUAGAGUUUACUUGGAACAAUUACAAGUUACAAUAAAGAAAGAUAGAGAUCAAUUAUAUACUUUAAAGAAGAUAGGGAGUAAUGACCACAAAAAUUGUAUAACAAUAAUUUAGAACAUAUGUAUUAUAUUGUAUUUUGUAGAAGCCAAGAUUGGCUUUCAUCCAAAGUCACCGACGACUUUUUCUU